rnacentral:rRNA from 1 species
GCCCGCUCAAGAAACUCAAAGGAAUUGACGGGGCCCGCACAAGCGGAGGAGCAUGUGGUUUAAUUCGAUGAUACGCGAGGAACCUUACCUGGGCUCGAACGUAAGAUGACUGUAGGUGAAAGCUUACAUCUCUUCGGAGCAUUUUACGGGGUGCUGCAUGGUUGUCGUCAGCUCGUGCCGUGAGGUGUCGGGUUAAGUCCCAUAACGAGCGCAACCCUACCUUUAGUUGCCAUCAGGUAAUGCUGGGGACUCUAAAGGAACUGCCUACGCAAGUAGUGAGGAAGCGGGGAUGACGUCAAAUCAGCACGGCCCUUACGUCCAGGGCUACACACGUGCUACAAUGGCCGAUACAGAGGGCAGCUACCUGGUGACAGGAUGCAAAUCUCCAAAGUCGGUCUCAGUUCGGAUCGGAGUCUGCAACCCGACUCCGUGAAGUUGGAUUCGCUAGUAAUCGCGCAUCAGCCAUGGCGCGGUGAAUACGUUCCCGGGCCUU